AGAGGAGAGGAGAGGACAUGGCCUGGGUAAGUGAGCAGUUUCUGAGUCUUUCCUGUCAAAGUUAGUCUUGAUUGGUGUUUGAUGGAGGAGCAGCCAUGAGGACAUUGAUGACUGAGGGUUAGAUGGAGGUCUGCAGCAGUGGAGGAGAUGACUGAUUAGAAAUCUGCAUGUUUAACACCCCGCCUCUUUACUUUGAAAGCACCCUGACUGGAGCUCAGUUCAGUUGCGGAUAUUGCAGAACAUGCACGCACGGUCGGCACGGCCAUGUCAACAAAGCAUGGAGAAACUGGGAUUACAACACAAACACAGAGGGAGAGCGACUUCAUUCUCUGCUCAGAUGACUGAUUAGAAAUCUGCCUCUUUACUUUGAAAGCACCCUGACUGGAGCUCAGGUCAGUUGCGGACAUUGCAGAGCUUCAGUCACACGCACCAUGAAGACCUUCACCUUGAUAACAGCUUUAACUCUCCGCAGCU